rnacentral:rRNA from 1 species
CAGUAGCCGCGGUAAUACGGAGGGUGCAAGCGUUAAUCGGAAUUACUGGGCGUAAAGCGUACGCAGGCGGUUUGUUAAGUCAGAUGUGAAAUCCCCGAGCUUAACUCGGGAACUGCAUUUGAAACUGGCAGGCUAGAGUCUCGUAGAGGGGGGUAGAAUUCCAGGUGUAGCGGUGAAAUGCGUAGAGAUCUGGAGGAAUACCGGUGGCGAAGGCGGCCCCCUGGACAAAGACUGACGCUCAGGUGCGAAAGCGUGGGGAGCAAACAGGAUUAGAUACCCGUGUAGUCCCUGUCUCUUAUAA